GAUGAACGCUGGCGGCGUGCCUAAUACAUGCAAGUCGAGCGAACAGACGAGGAGCUUGCUCCUCUGACGUUAGCGGCGGACGGGUGAGUAACACGUGGAUAACCUACCUAUAAGACUGGGAUAACUUCGGGAGACCGGAGCUAAUACCGGAUAAUAUAUUGAACCGCAUGGUUCAAUAGUGAAAGACGGUUUUGCUGUCACUUAUAGAUGGAUCCGCGCCGCAUUAGCUAGUUGGUAAGGUAACGGCUUACCAAGGCGACGAUGCGUAGCCGACCUGAGAGGGUGAUCGGCCACACUGGAACUGAGACACGGUCCAGACUCCCACGGGAGGCAGCAGUAGGGAAUCUUCCGCAAUGGGCGAAAGCCUGACGGAGCAACGCCGCGUGAGUGAUGAAGGUCUUCGGAUCGUAAAACUCUGUUAUUAGGGAAGAACAAAUGUGUAAGUAACUAUGCACGUCUUGACGGUACCUAAUCAGAAAGCCACGGCUAACUACGUG
rnacentral:rRNA from 1 species